rnacentral:rRNA from 1 species
UACGUAGGUAGCAAGCGUUGUCCGGAAUUAUUGGGCGUAAAGAGCUCGUAGGCGGUCUGUCACGUCUGCUGUGAAAACUCGGGGCUUAACCCCGGGCCUGCAGUGGGUACGGGCAGACUAGAGUGCGGUAGGGGAGACUGGAAUUCCUGGUGUAGCGGUGAAAUGCGCAGAUAUCAGGAGGAACACCGGUGGCGAAGGCGGGUCUCUGGGCCGUAACUGACGCUGAGGAGCGAAAGCGUGGGGAGCGAACAGG